rnacentral:rRNA from 1 species
GACGAACGCUGGCGGCGUGCUUAACACAUGCAAGUCGAACGGAAAGGCCCUGCUGUUGUGGGUUGCUCGAGUGGCGAACGGGUGAGUAACAAGUGAGUAACCUGCCCUUGACUUUGGGAUAACUUCAGGAAACUGGGGCUAAUACCGGAUCGGAGCUCCUGCUGCAUGGUGGGGGUUGGAAAGUUUCGGCGGUUGGGGAUGGACUCGCGGCUUAUCAGCUUGUUGGUGGGGGAGUGGCUUACGAAGGCUUUGACGGGUAGCCGGCCUGAGAGGGUGACCGGCGACCAUGGGACUGAGGUACGGACCAGACUCCUACGGGAGGCAGCAGUGGGGAAUAUUGCACAAUGGGCGGGAGCCUGAUGAAGAGGCCCCGGGUGCGGGAUGACGGCCUUCGGGUUGUAAACCGCUUUGGCCUGUGACGAAGCGUGAGUGACGGUAAUGGGUAAAGAAGCACCGGCUAACUACGUG